CCUUCGUCACAAUUUUUCCGUAGGUGAACCUGCGGAAGGAUCAUUAUUGUAUAACCGAGGUGCGAGGGCUGUCGCUGACCCGAAAGGUCGUGCACGCCCGAGUGCCCUCACACACAUCCAUCUCACCCCUAUGUGCACCACCGCGUGGGUCCCCCUUUGGCUUGUUCGGAGGGGGGCUUACGUUUUCACACAAACUUUGUAUGCAGUGUAGAAUGUAUUUUUUGUUUUUGCGAUCACGCAAUCAAUACAACUUUCAACAACGGAUCUCUUGGCUCUC
rnacentral:misc_RNA from 1 species